UUGCCCUAGUAACGGCGAGUGAAGCGGCAACAGCUCAAAUUUGAAAUCUGGCUCUUUUAGGGUCCGAGUUGUAAUUUGCAGAGGGCGCUUUGGCGUUGGCAGCGGUCCAAGUUCUUUGGAACAGGACGUCACAGAGGGUGAGAAUCCCGUACGUGGUCGCUAGCCUUCGCCGUGUAAAGCCCCUUCGACGAGUCGAGUUGUUUGGGAAUGCAGCUCUAAAUGGGAGGUAAAUUUCUUCUAAAGCUAAAUACUGGCCAGAGACCGAUAGCGCACAAGUAGAGUGAUCGAAAGAUGAAAAGCACUUUGGAAAGAGAGUCAAAUAGCACGUGAAAUUGUUGAAAGGGAAGCGCUUGCAGCCAGACUUGCCUGUAGUUGCUUAUCCGGACUUUUGUCCGGUGCACUCUUCUGCGGGCAGGCCAGCAUCAGUUUAGGCGGUUGGAUAAAGGUCUCUAUCACGUACCUCCCUUCGGGGUUGGCCUUAUAGGGGAGACGACAUGCAACCAGCCUGAACUGAGGUCCGCGCAUCUGCUAGGAUGCUGGCGUAAUGGCUGUAAGCGGCCCGUCUUGAAACACGGACCAAGGAGUCUAACAUCUAUGCGAGUGUUUGGGUGUCAAGCCCAGACGCGUAAUGAAAGUGAACGGAGGUGGGAACCUUUUAGGUGCACCAUCGACCGAUCCUGAUGUCUUCGGAUGGAUUUGAGUAAGAGCAUGGCUGUUGGGACCCGAAAGAUGGUGAACUAUGCUUGAAUAGGGUGAAGCCAGAGGAAACUCUGGUGGAGGCUCGCAGCGGUUCUGACGUGCAAAUCGAUCGUCAAAUUU
rnacentral:rRNA from 2 species